UACGUAGAUGGCAAGCGUUGUCCGGAUUUACUGGGCGUAAAGAGCGCGCAGGCGGUCGUUCAAGUCGCGUGUGAAAGCCCCCGGCUCAACUGGGGAGGGUCACGCGAUACUGAUCGACUCGAAGGCAGGAGAGGGAAGUGGAAUUCCCGGUGUAGUGGUGAAAUGCGUAGAUAUCGGGAGGAACACCAGUGGCGAAGGCGACUUCCUGGCCUGUUCUUGACGCUGAGGCGCGAAAGCUAGGGGAGCAAACGGG
rnacentral:rRNA from 1 species